ACGGCGACUUGGACAGUGGGAGCCUAUGGUGACAUCUUGAUUAGGCCUUGGGGAUAGACCUGGAGAGGGAUCCCUCAGGAGGGUGUGUUCCGGAUUUCUUGCCUCAGGCCCAAGACUCCAACCAUUUUAUAAUGGAAUCUUUAUUUUGUGAAAGUAGCGGGGACUCAUCUCUGGAGAAGGAGUUCCUCGGGGCCCCAGUGGGGCCCUCGGUGAGCACCCCCAACAGCCAGCACUCUUCUCCCAGCCGCUCACUCAGUGCCAACUCCAUCAAGGUGGAGAUGUACAGCGAUGAGGAGUCAAGCAGACUGCUGGGGCCAGAUGAGCGGCUCCUGGAAAAGGACGACAGCGUGAUUGUGGAAGAUUCAUUGUCUGAGCCCUUGGGCUACUGUGAUGGGAGUGGGCCAGAGCCUCACUCCCCUGGGGGCAUCCGGCUGCCCAAUGGCAAGCUCAAGUGUGACGUCUGCGGCAUGGUCUGUAUUGGACCCAACGUGCUCAUGGUGCACAAGCGCAGUCACACUGGUGAAAGGCCCUUCCAUUGCAACCAGUGUGGUGCCUCCUUCACCCAGAAGGGGAACCUGCUGCGCCACAUCAAGCUGCACUCUGGGGAGAAGCCCUUUAAAUGUCCCUUCUGCAACUAUGC
rnacentral:sRNA from 1 species